GCUGUUUGUAGGUACCGGACGCCAAUAAGUACAGAGAGCUGUAAGAAACAGUUAAUGGUUAAACUGAGAGCUUUCUGACUUGUGUAUUUACAGGCCUAAUAAUUAACAGUGAGUAAAGCAGAAAAUUCUUUAUCCCAGCAAUCUAACCACUUCCCCAAUUAAUUACAUUUUUCAGAAAGAAAAACACCAGGAAGAGAUUGAUUGAUUCUCUCUCCAUCCUUCAGCCAGCAUUGCCACUUGCAUAUUAAUAGCACAUAAAUACCUAGAAUUACUUGGGAGCGCUGAAGCCUCAGAGACUACAACUAAUUGAUACAGUAUGGAUGAUCAGUUAAUGGAACCACCAGUCACUGGGAAAAAAAUAAAAUAGAUUGUAGUCUGUUAAGUUCUAUGGAUUUUCUCCCCAAUUUUGAUUAAAUUUUUGUUUCCUCUGAGGAGUUUAAUCAUCUAUAUGUAAGCUGUGUGGAGUCUCCUUCUCUGGAGACUUUGAAGACCCAUCUGGACAGGUUCCUAUGUGAUCUGUCUUAGGUGUUCCUGCUGCAGCAGGGGGCUUGGACUAGAUCAUCUUCAGAGGUCCCUUCCAACCUCUAUGAUUCUAUGAUUGAUAGUACAGGCUCAAGUAGAAGUUUAGGAAAAAGCUCCACUUUUGUAAUUCUGUUGGAAUUGAGAUGAGCAUGCCUAGAUUGUUGACAUUUAAAGGAGCACAGAGAGCCGCCUCUUUGUGUGUUGCCAAAGGUCUGUUUUCUGGCACCACCACUCCAUCUAGCACUGCUUGAGAACUGUUGCGAACUAUUUUAAUUAUAGUGCUAAUAUCUAUGCAAUAGAACAAUAAUAAGAAAACAAAAACUUUUUUAAAAGGGGAGGAGAACAUUUUAACCUGUGCCACUGGGGAUGGGGGGUGGGAUGGUUCUUUCACCUACAGAUGACAACAUCCAGACAACUUUCUUUACAGAUGCCAGAAGAAAGACUGCAUCUUUGCACCUGUAUGUACUUACCUAUGAUACGCUUGUUUUGAUUGUAUAAUAGACAGUCUAAUCUCCAUCUAAAAAGGUAUGCCAUGUUUGCAAGCAUUGUCUAUGUGGUGAAGCUAUGUCAUGGAAAAAUGAGGCUUUGAGAUAUCAUGUUCCAUUUCUACUAUAAAUAAAAUUAAUAUGUGCAGUCAAAGGUCUGCUCACAUUUCCUGUAUUCUUUGUUAAAACUGACUUAAAACAAUCCUCAAAUCUUCUCACCUAAUUUCCUUGCAGAUUGCUUAAAUCAUCCUGUAUCUGAUCCCAUAAAUGCUUCAGAGAAGGGAAUAUGCCAACAUCUACUGAAGAAGUUUGGUGCUGAUGGACUUCAUAUUAGAUGCUGAGGCACUUCACCUGUGUUACACCAUAGUUGCUUCCCACUCUAGAGAGGAGGAAGACUGAUGACUCUGACACAGACCAGUUUUUACUGAGACUUACCUCAAACAACCAAAUGAGCAAUGCUGCGAUGCCAAUGGACCUCAUGAUAGCUGUGUAGUAAUCCAGCAGGGCCUCCCUGCACCCCCUCACCCAGAUAUUGAGCUCCUCUGUCAGAAAAUCGUAGUUGUAGUGGGCACUGUUGUUUGUCAGCUGGUACUGGAUACAGGGCCGUGGGGAGCUUGGGUUGCAGCAGCUGAAGGGUACUCCAUCCACCAAGAACUUUCCAUCAACGUUGCUCAGUAGACGGCUGCAACAAGACAGAAAGUUUGGGAGUUACAAACCCGAUAUUUAUAGGUGAUAUUCUUUGUGUGUGAUUUGUAUAAAAGGGUAAAAUGCCAGUCAGCCACGAUGUAGGCAUCUCCAAGGUAAUGAAAGGAAAAUGAGAAUAUAUUUCCAACUGGAAAAGUUGCUCACUGCAGACAAACUAAAUUUUUCCUCUGCUGUGUUUCUGAAGUGUGAUAUGAGCGCAGUAUCUCAGGUGGUUCUUGGUACUGUGCGUGCAUUGUCUGACCACACCUGGAGUGUUGCGUUCAGUUUUGGUCCCUGCUCUACAAAAAGGAUGUGGACAGGCUGGAGAGGGUCCAGAGAAGGGCCACAAGGAUGAUCAGAGGACUGGAGAACCUGCCAUAUGUGGAGAGAAAACUGGAUUUGUUCAGCCUCGAGAAAAGAAGGCUUUGGGGAAACCUUAUGACCAUGUUCCAGUACUCACAGGGCAGCUACCAAGAAGAUGGAGACUCCCUGUUUACAAGGAAUCACAUGGAAAAGACAAGGGGUAAUGGGCACAAGUUCCUCCUGGAGAGAUUCCAAUUGGACACAAGAGAUUACAUAAAUUACAUGGAAGGAAGCCAUCACAUGAAACUCAACAGGUGAACAGAGGAAGCAGAAACUGCAGUUCUUUCAGCAUUCUGGGACUAAAUUUAAAUACUUACUCCACAACCUCUUUGGAAGCCAUAUUCAGAUAACGAGGUGAUACCCACUGAAUUUCAAACCAGUCUCUGAAGCCGUUGUUUCCACAGCACUGGAACCCAAUUUGUAACAUAUCCACUGUUUUCUUUAAGAAACAUCGUCCAGACCUGCUGAGAAGGCUGGACACCAAGAGCAGAAUGAUAGAGCAGCACUUUGUAACUCAGCAGGAGUGGAUAUACGAGUGAUUAAGUUACCUGUCACCCAGUGGUACAGAAAGAAAACACACACACUUUCCUGCUAACAGUGGAGACUGCUGUGCUGCGGCUUUGGAUCUGCAAGAGAUGUUUAAAGGUUAUAACAAUGAGGAUGCUGAAGCCAGUCUCAGGCAAAACAGAUAUUAAAGCAGACUUGGAUGAACUGCACUGCACACGUGCUGGUAGGAUUCAGGGCUCCCGUAUAUUCCAGGAAACACCAUGCAAGUACCAAUCAGGCUGGCUCUGAUUUCAAUCCAUAGGAGCUGUACUGUCCAUAACCUCUGAGUCAUCCACUCCUGACUCAUGGUGAGUCAUUACAAAUGGAAAACUAAGACACAGAAAUAAUGUAUUCACUCUAAAAUGAGUCCAGAAGUCUAUGGUAAAGCUGGAAAAUGAAUUCAAAUGUAAACUUGCAUCUUGGCUAUAACUUUUUUUCAAGACUAGAAUCCAUUUUUAUGACCUUAUUCAUAGACCAUGUAGCAAUCUUACUUUUCAUCUUUGAACUGUAUUCACUAUGGGCCACAUCAUCACAAACCAGUCAUUAGGAAGAUUUUUGCAGAAUGGAAUUACAUGCAUAUUAUGAGGGCUCCCAACAAAAUAAUGAGGUAAAAUUUCCUUUUUCUAUUCCACAUCUCAUAGCAUCAACACUUUGGUGCACUGAAUUGUCAAUUAAACCCUUCUUCCCCUAGUAAAUUAGUCAGACAUACACUCACAUUUGUCCUGGAAGACACAUCCUAUACUAAUCAGGAAGUCUCCCUAUUCUCACCUUAUUGUAAACCUGAUGUUGAUGCUGUUUUUCACUCUCUAGACAACACUUGAACUAAACAAUAUUACUCCAGACAUCUUGUACUGAAUCUGAGAUUCUUCUAGAAAAAAAAAAAGAAGAAAAAAAAAAGACUCACAAAGAUUCUGAAGCUGUCAAACAGACUAAAAAAAGCACCUAGACAGAGUGCUCUUAGAGCUCUUCUGAAAAAGAUCCAAGAUCCCUCUGUCCCUUCAGUGGUGACUUCAGGCUUAUUGACAGUCUGGCUCUAGAAAUCAUGAUAUAUGAAAAAAGACCAAAGGAACUCUGUUUCCUUAGUGUAGGGAAGACUGAUGGCAAUAGGUGAAAAUAAUGUUUGAGUAAUUUUAAGGUAGUUGCACAGAGGCAGGAAAUAAAUUCCUUUGUUGACAGGAGGAGAAAUAAUGGGCAAAAUCUUUAUUUUAGUGAGAACAGUGCAACAGCUCAUGAAAAAGCUUUAUUUCGAUCAGAAUAGUACUUGUAGAAGAGGUUGAUAAAUAUUGGCUGGGAAUGUUGUGGGGACAGUUGGCCUUCCCUUGGAAAAAGGGCUGAACUACACGUCUUAAGGUCUGUGAUUUUUUAAUUUGCUAUGAACUGGAUACCUCAUUGACUUUUGUCUGAAAUGUGAGAUUUUAAACUGUUUUCCUUUCUACUCUUCAGUGACAGCAUUGUUUCUACCUCCAUUUAUGUGUUAAUUUUCAGUUACAAUUUUCAACAAAUUCUAUUAUUUGUUGGAUAUUAACUUACUGAGUAACCAAACCUAGGAAUUUUCUGUCUCUUGAGAAUUAAUACUUACGAAGUCUGUGCAUCUUGCUGUCUAUCCCCCCAUUUUAUUUUUUUCUGUCUUUUUCUCUCUUGUCUCUUCUGACAGUCAUUUGAUUUCUGACUCUCCACAAAAAAAUUCUGGAGCUUUGUCUCUUGCUUCUGUGGUCAACUAAGCAGAAGUAUUAUUCAGAACUUCUGACUCAUACAGAAAUAAAUAAAUAACCCCAAUACUCUGAUGUCUAGACCAAGAAGUUCCAAUGAAAGUGUUUGAAACUAAGGAGUUUCUGCUUCGCAGGAUGAAUCAUCCACUCCCAUAUACCUUUAUUUCAAGAAAACAACAGCGGAGUUCAGGUGGUCUUUACACACUGUUAAUCGUAUCACCCUUCUCCAUCAGCAGAUAUACGCAUACGCUUGUGUAUAGGUGUGGUUUUCAAUUUUUAACAGUUCCUUGAAGAAACAUUAGAUCAUUCCUUUCAGACAAAAAACAUGGCUGAAAAUUCUCACAUCUCCUUUAUCCUAUAAGGAAGAUUUCCAGGAAAGUAAACUUAUUUUUUAAUUAUUAUCCAUUAUGAAGUUUAAGAAAGCCGAAAGUGAAGCACUAGAAAGUUGUGUUCCAUCUAUAGAUGUUCCUGGAAGUUCUGAUCUAGUUCCUCAAACAAGAAAGAAAGAAAUUGGGAGUUUAUAUGUGGGUAUAUUUUCAUUCUCUGU